GACGUAGGGCGCGAGCGUUGUCCGGAUUUAUUGGGCGUAAAGAGCGUGUAGGCGGCCAAGUAGGUCCGGUGUGAAAACUCGAGGCUUAACCUCGAGAUGUCAUCGGAAACCCCUUGGCUAGAGUCCGGAAGAGGAGAGUGGAAUUCCUGGUGUAGCGGUGAAAUGCGCAGAUAUCAGGAAGAACACCAAUGGCGAAGGCAGCUCUCUGGGACGGUACUGACACUGAGACGCGAAAGCGUGGGGAGCGAACAGG
rnacentral:rRNA from 1 species